ensembl:misc_RNA Metazoa_SRP Metazoan signal recognition particle RNA
GCCAGGCGUGGUGGUGUAUGCCUAUAGUCCUGGCUACUUGGGAGGCUGAGGCUGGAGAAUUGUUUGAGUCCAGGAGUUCUGGGCUGUAGUGCGCUGUGCCGAUUCGGUGUCCAUACUAAGUUUAGCAUCAAUAUCGUGACCUCCCGGAAGUGGGGGACUGCCAGGUUGCCUAAGGAGGGGUGAACUGGCCCAGGUCAGAAACAGGGCAGGUCAAAAUUUUUGUGCUGAUCAGUAGUAGGACCACGCCUGUGAAUAGCCACUGCCCUCCAGCCUGGGCAACAUAAGGAGACCCCAUCUCUG